rnacentral:rRNA from 1 species
GACGAACGCUGGCGGCGUGCUUAACACAUGCAAGUCGAACGAUGAUGCUGGAGCUUGCUCCAGUUGAUUAGUGGCGAACGGGUGAGUAACACGUGAGCAAUCUGCCCUUGACUCUGGGAUAACUGCGGGAAACUGUAGCUAAUACCGGAUACUUUCACCGGGGGGCAUCCUCUGGUGAUGAAAGAAUUUCGGUCAAGGAUGAGCUCGCGGCCUAUCAGCUUGUUAGUGAGGUAACGGCUCACCAAGGCGACGACGGGUAACCGGCCUGAGAGGGUGGCCGGUCACACUGGGACUGGGGCACGGCCCAGACUCCUACGGGAGGCAGCAGUGGGGAAUAUUGCACAAUGGGCGCAAGCCUGAUGCAGCAACGCCGCGUGAGGGAUGAAGGCCUUCGGGUUGUAAACCUCUUUUAGCAGGGAAGAAGCGAAAGUGACGGUACCUGCAGAAAAAGCACCGGCUAACUACGUGCCAGCAGCCGCAGUAA